rnacentral:rRNA from 1 species
GAUGAACGCUGGCGGCGUGCCUAAUACAUGCAAGUCGAGCGAACAGACGAUGAGCUUGCUCCUUCGACGUUAGCGGCGCACGGGUGAGUAACACGUAUGUAACCUACCUAUAUGACUGGUAUAACUUCGGGAAACCGGAUCAAAUACCGUAUAAUAUUUCGAACCGCAUUGUUCGAUAGUGAAAUAUGGCUUUGCUGUCACUUAUAGAUGGACCUGCGCCGUAUUAGCUAGUUGGUAAGUUAACGGCUUACCAAGGCAACGAUACGUAGCCGACCUGAGAGGGUGAUCGGCCACAUUAGAGGGGGGACAGCGUCCAGGCGACUGCGAGAGGCAGCAGUAGGCAACCGUACGCAGUGGGCGAAAGCAUGACAGAGCAAGGGGGAGUCAGUGAUAGAGGUGCUGCGAGCGUAAAACCGUGCUAUGAGGGAAGAACCAACGUCUAAGGAAAUGAGGCCGUCUUGACGGUAACUAAUAAGAAAGCAACGGCUAACUACGUG